rnacentral:rRNA from 1 species
AUGCGAUUUCUUUCUGACUCAAGAUAUAUUUAUUUUUCUACAUGCUGUUUUUUUACUGAUUGUUUUGUUGUGCCAGAUUUGUCUGGGGGUCGUGUUAUUUUUCAGUUUUGUGUGACUUUCGUUUCAUGUUUAUAUUUGGUGAUUGCGUGUGAGCAGGAUGUGUGCUCUUAUUUCGACCGUUAUACCUGUUUGGAAGCCGUGGUGGCUCGGUGUGCUUUGCCAGCGCUUUCGUACCUAUGUGAGAUCGCAGAGGAUGGGUUCAUUCUUGCUGGGGUAGAACUGGAACUUCCAGGGGAUGGUUCUGGUCCAGUUCCAUGA